UUCCUUCCAGCCGGCGAGGUACAUGUACCUUGCCGAGUGGAAGGGAAACCCUCCACCCGGCGAGGUACAUGCCUCGCCGGCUGGAAGGAA
rnacentral:miRNA from 1 species